rnacentral:misc_RNA from 1 species
GAUGAAGAACGCAGCGAAAUGCGAUAAGUAAUGUGAAUUGCAGAAUUCAGUGAAUCAUCGAAUCUUUGAACGCACAUUGCGCCCCUUGGUAUUACGAGGGGCAUGCCCGUUCGAGCGUCAUUAUACCCCUCAAGCCUAGCUUGGUGUUGGGGCCUGCUGUUACCGGCAGCCCUUAAAAUCAGUGGCGGUGCCAUCUGGCUCUAAGCGUAGUAAUACUUCUCGCUACAGGGUCCCGGUGGAUGCUUGCCAUCAACCCCUAAUUUUCUAUGGUUGACCUCGGAUCGGGUAGGGAUACCCGCUGAACUUAAGCAUAUCAAUAAGCGGAGGA